rnacentral:lncRNA from 1 species
UCCCGACAUCGAAAUUCCAACAGUGGUAUUAAAGCCAUGGGUUUUAUAUGCAUAAAAUUGACAUACAUGUUUUGAAAAGAGUUUCAAAAUCUAAUUUUUCUCAAUCCAUGAGAUGUAUAGAUGAAUAUUUUAAAUUAAAAAUUUAUUUUAGAUUUAAUUUAGUAUAUAUAGUUGGUAUAUUAAAGCAUGUAUAGAUCUGAAUUUUGAUCUAGAAUUGUUUUUAGUUUAUGUUCAUAUUAUAUGUAG